CCUACGGGAGGCAGCAGUGAGGAAUAUUGGUCAAUGGGCGCAAGCCUGAACCAGCCAUGCCGCGUGCAGGAAGAAUGCCCUCUGGGUUGUAAACUGCUUUUAUUUGGGAAUAAACCUUUUACGUGUAGAAAGCUGAAGGUACCAAAUGAAUAAGCACCGGCUAACUCCGUGCCAGCAGCCGCGGUAAUACGGAGGGUGCAAGCGUUAUCCGGAAUCAUUGGGUUUAAAGGGUCCGCAGGCGGAUUUAUAGGUCAGUGGUGAAAUCUCUCGGCUUAACCGAGAAACUGCCAUUGAUACUGUAAGUCUUGAAUUCGGUCGAAGUGGGCGGAAUGUGUAGUGUAGCGGUGAAAUGCAUAGAUAUUACACAGAACACCGAUAGCGAAGGCAGCUCACUAGGCCUGGAUUGACGCUCAGGGACGAAAGCGUGGGGAUCAAACAGGAUUAGAUACCCUGGUAGUCCACGCUGUAAACGAUGAUUACUCGUUUUCGGCGAUAUACAGUCGGAGACUAAGCGAAAGUGAUAAGUAAAUCCACCUGGGGAGUACGAAUCGCAAGGUUGAAACUUCAAAANAGAGUUAGAGCGNGAGAGNGCGAGACGACACGAGGGAGGAGG
rnacentral:rRNA from 1 species